CCAGAGUCCUUAGGGUAACAUUAACUAGCUCAUUCUUGUUUCCUAACUGCGUUGCGAGUUAUAGGAGCUUAGCUGAGAGCUUCAUGGAGACAGCUAAAGUUUAUGUUC